UGUCCAGUAGCUCCUAUCCCUACCUCCCCGUGGUGCCGCCUGGGGUACGAAUAACCGUAGGGAAGAUCGGGAUUGAUGGGACCUUGGACGUAUGCUGACAGGGAAGG
rnacentral:ribozyme from 1 species